GCCAUCGUGGCGCAAUGGUAGCGCAUCACCUUCCUAUGUGUGGGGUUUCUUCAUAAGGACUAGGUGGGGGUUGCGGGUUCGAUCCCCGUCGGUGGUA